rnacentral:rRNA from 1 species
GACGAACGCUGGCGGCGUGCUUAACACAUGCAAGUCGAACGGAAAGGCCCUGCUUUUGUGGGGUGCUCGAGUGGCGAACGGGUGAGUAACACGUGAGUAACCUGCCCUUGACUUUGGGAUAACUUCAGGAAACUGGGGCUAAUACCGGAUAGGAGCUCCUGCUGCAUGGUGGGGGUUGGAAAGUUUCGGCGGUUGGGGAUGGACUCGCGGCUUAUCAGCUUGUUGGUGGGGUAGUGGCUUACCAAGGCUUUGACGGGUAGCCGGCCUGAGAGGGUGACCGGCCACAUUGGGACUGAGAUACGGCCCAGACUCCUACGGGAGGCAGCAGUGGGGAAUACUGCACAAUGGGCGGAAGCCUGAUGCAGCAACGCCGCGUGCGGGAUGACGGCCUUCGGGUUGUAAACCGCUUUCGCCUGUGACGAAGCGUGAGUGACGGUAAUGGGUAAAGAAGCACCGGCUAACUACGUGCCAGCAGCCGCGGUGAUACGUAGGGUGCGAGCGUUGUCCGGAUUUAUUGGGCGUAAAGGGCUCGUAGGUGGUUGAUCGCGUCGGAAGUGUAAUCUUGGGGCUUAACCCUGAGCGUGCCUUCGAUACGGGUUGACUUGAGGAAGGUAGGGGAGAAUGGAAUUCCUGGUGGAGCGGUGGAAUGCGCAGAUAUCAGGAGGAACACCAGUGGCGAAGGCGGUUCUCUGGGCCUUUCCUGACGCUGAGGAGCGAAAGCGUGGGGAGCGAACAGGCUUAGAUACCCUGGUAGUCCACGCUGUAAACGGUGGGUACUAGGUGUGGGGUCCAUUCCACGGGUUCCGUGCCGUAGCUAACGCUUUAAGUACCCCGCCUGGGGAGUACGGCCGCAAGGCUAAAACUCAAAGGAAUUGACGGGGCCCCGCACAAGCGGCGGAGCAUGCGGAUUAAUUCGAUGCAACGCGUAGAACCUUACCUGGGUUUGACAUGGAUCGGGAGUGCUCAGAGAUGGGUGUGCCUCUUUUGGGGUCGGUUCACAGGUGGUGCAUGCCUGUCGUCAGCUCGUGUCGUGAGAUGUUGGGUUAAGUCCCGCAACGAGCGCAACCCUUGUUCACUGUUGCCAGCACGUUAUGGUGGGGACUCAGUGGAGACCGCCGGGGUCAACUCGGAGGAAGGUGGGGAUGACGUCAAGUCCUCAUGCCCCUUAUGUCCAGGGCUUCACGCAUGCUACAAUGGCUGGUACAGAGAGUGGCGAGCCUGUGAGGGUGAGCGAAUCUCGGAAAGCCGGUCUCAGUUCGGAUUGGGGUCUGCAACUCGACCUCAUGAAGUCGGAGUCGCUAGUAAUCGCAGAUCAGCAACGCUGCGGUGAAUACGUUCCCGGGGCU